rnacentral:lncRNA from 1 species
CAAGCACUUUAUUUUACAUUUUAAUAUUUUAUGAUGUAUUUAAAUGAGUAGUUAUUGUUGCAAACUCCAUUAGGAAUUUGAAUUGAGAUCAGUUUUGGAAAAAGGGAAAGGGGAUGUGUGAAAAAAAAUGGGGGGGGUUAAAUUUUUCUCAUUUCAGAUUUCAUAAAUAAAAAGAAAAUUUCUUCAAACAUUUUUUUGAGAGGAUUAAUAUUCAACAGCAUAGUGAAUUGCUCAAAGGCAAAAAAAAUAUUUUAAGUUCAUUAGACCACAUUCAUUCUGUGUCAGAAACCUAUGCUGUGUCAUUUAUUUAAUCACAAUCCAAAUUUAGAGCUGAAUCCAGCUUAAAUGUUGUGUCCAUACUUGCCCCAACUGUUCAGGGUUCAACCUCUGCGGUCGUAUAUAGCUGUGCCCUGCGGAGCAUCUGGUUUUAUGGUUGUUUUGUUUUUGUGUUACUGUAGAAGUUCUUAUAUUCAGUAUCCUAAAUGACAGCUUUUGUAUUCUGUUGACAAAAAAUUUGCUCAUGAGAUUUUAAUGAGAUUUUAUUAUUAGUAUUGGACAUCAAACCCUGACAAUGAAACAUUUUCUUUUUACAUGGUAUUAAAAUGUAUUUCAUGAGCAAUAGAAAUUCUUUCUUGGUGUUAAUUUAAUCUUUAUAUAAUGGUUUUCAUGAGAAAUGGAAAAUAAGAAUUGAAUUGAUACCAAGAAAGAACAGUGAUCUAACAAGUAUCUUACUUGAUUGUUAUAUAUAAUUUCAACAUUCAAUACUUGGACUUGGUUCGAGUAAAACUGACAAAGCAUGAUUUUGAAUAUGUACAUAUCUUGUAUCUAAUUAUCUGUAUCUGUUGAUGUAUUUUAACAGUUUAGUGUUUAAUGAUUGUUUGUGAUUUAAAAGUCUGUAUAUAUGUGAAUAUUUAUUUUGAUGGAAGAA